GCCGAGCCAUCAGUGGCACAGCAGCAUGGACUCAGCUAAGUGCUGCUCAUCUCGUCUCUGAUGUUCUCAUCACAUCUAAUGCAUCAAACCAUCAUUCUCAAGGGUGAAAAUGAUGCCUGUUUGGGAGUUGACACCCACAGCUGUCACAACCAUUUUCCCUGAGCCCUCCAUGACAUGGGUGCCUGGAAGAGACAAAUCAGCUAAAGUCAGACACACUGGAUGCAAAAUUGUUCCAAACGUAGAAGAACUGAGACGAUGAUCAUUUCCUCCUCAGACUCAGGCUAAGAGAGCUUUCAUCGAUCUUCAGAUCGUUGCCCUGGAUUAGCACUCCGUCCGCAGGAAGCAGGUCACCUGGAAACAAGCACCAGACAGGAGACACAGCCACUAGGAUCUGGAUGACCUGUCCUCCCCGGACGACCGUGAAGCGCUGUUCCUGCUCGAUGCGGCUCUGGAGGCCGCGA